CUGAUUUCGUGGGGAGCAAGGGGGGAGGAGAUUUCCGCGAAAACUUGACCAAUCUUCGUGCAGUUCGUCCCUACUUCUAGGUAUCGAGGCGAUGGAGAUCCUUCCGCCGAGGCAUAGCUACUCGAGUUGGAGAUCGAGUUGUAAGUGGUGGAGUAGAGGUAUGAGAAGCAGCUUUGCUUCUCUUCUUGUGGAUUAUGUUGGAGUCUCUUUUACUUUAUGAGAACUCUGUUAUUAAAGUCUUGCUUCCGCCACUGUUAAAGUGCGCAUGUUUAUUCUGAACCUUACUUAUGGUAUUGUAAACUAUUAUUACUGUAUAUCGGGAAACAAGUUAUCUAAAUAAAGUUAUGGUAUGUUUCCAACC